rnacentral:rRNA from 1 species
AUUGAACGCUGGCGGCAUGCCUUACACAUGCAAGUCGAACGGCAGCACGGGUGCUUGCACCUGGUGGCGAGUGGCGAACGGGUGAGUAAUACAUCGGAACAUGUCCUGUAGUGGGGGAUAGCCCGGCGAAAGCCGGAUUAAUACCGCAUACGAUCUACGGAUGAAAGCGGGGGACCUUCGGGCCUCGCGCUAUAGGGUUGGCCGAUGGCUGAUUAGCUAGUUGGUGGGGUAAAGGCCUACCAAGGCGACGAUCAGUAGCUGGUCUGAGAGGACGACCAGCCACACUGGGACUGAGACACGGCCCAGACUCCUACGGGAGGCAGCAGUGGGGAAUUUUGGACAAUGGGCGAAAGCCUGAUCCAGCAAUGCCGCGUGUGUGAAGAAGGCCUUCGGGUUGUAAAGCACUUUUGUCCGGAAAGAAAGCCUUGGCUCUAAUACAGUCGGGGGAUGACGGUACCGGAAGAAUAAGCACCGGCUAACUACGUG